rnacentral:lncRNA from 1 species
UAGGAGCCAAAAGCUGGCAGAUGAAAAUUUUAAUUGGAUGUGUUACUGGGGAGGCCAGCAGAAGCAAUGGCAUGAACGUGUUGGUCACUCCAAGAGAAGGAACCUCCAAUCCAAAGUCUACAAGUAAAAGGAAGUUUAUCGACACUGGCAGCUUUGCUGAGCAGGACAAAUACUUGGAAAUGUCGAAACGUGCAUGCAAAGCUUCUAAUUCCUACCUGGACUUGAAUCUGCCUGUAGAGGAGUUGGAAGAAGAUGUUGAUUCGGCAAAUUGUGACAGUGAUUCCCUCUCUGAAAGCUCAGAAGCUUGGUUGGAAGAGUUCUUAGAUCAAAUGGAUGAAAAAGUGACUUUCAAGCCCUUCAAUUUUGAUGCAGUUGCUCAGAAGCUACUGAAGGAAAUAAGCCUGAACUUCCAAAAGAUUAUCGGAUCUGACAUUCAGUUGGAGAUUGACAGCGAAGUUAUGGUGCAAAUACUUGCAGCUGCUUGGUUGUCAGAGAAAGGGGGAGCAGUGGAUGAUUGGGUUGAACAGGUUCUCAGCAAGAGCUUCACUGAAGCCCGGCAAAGGUACCGUCUUACUGCUCAGUCUCUUGUGAAACUAGUCCCUUGUGAAGGCCUUUCCGUGGAAGAGCAAGCUCCUGGAGUUUGCCUUCCUGCAAGAAUUAUUCUAAACUGAUUUUUGUGCUCAAAUGUGCUUCUUGUAAUUAUAUGUAAAAUGUAGCUUUUAGCAUCUAAAAAAAGCCUUUUAACUG